GAACGCAUCUUGCGCUCCUUGGUAUUCCGAGGAGCAUGCCUGUUUGAGUGUCAUGAACACCUCAACUCUUCAUGGUUUUCCAUGAUGAGCUUGGACUUUGGGGGUCUUGCUGGCCUGUGGGUCGGCUCCUCUCAAAUGAAUCAGCUUGCCGGUUUUUGGUGGGCAUCACAGGUGUGAUAACUAUCUACGCUUGUGGUUUUCCACCAGGGUAACCUUCAGCAGUGGAGGUUCACUGGAGCUUACAAAUGUCUCUCCUCUGUGAGGACAGCCCUUUGAAUGUUUGAUCUCAAAUCAGGUAGGACUACCCGCUGAACUUAAG
rnacentral:misc_RNA from 1 species